AAUUCUUCCUUUAGUCAGCAUUAGGGUUUAAAACCCUAAACUGAACUUUUUUUCCCUUCAGCCAGCAUUAGGGUUUUAAACCCUAAACUAAGCUUUUCCAUGCAAUCAGCAUUAGGGUUUUAAACCCUAAACUGAAUUUUUUCCUUUAGUCAGCAUUAGGGUCUUAAACCCUAAACUGAAUUGUUUUCCAUUCAGUCAGCAUUAGGGUUUUAAACCCUAAACUGAGCUUUUCUAUGCAAUCAGCAUUAGGGUUUUAAACCCAAAACUGAAUUUUUUCCUUUAGUCAGCAUUAGGGUUUUAAACUUUAAACUGAAUUUUUUCCAUUCAGCCAGCAUUAGGGUUUUAAACCCUAAACUGAGGUCUUCCAUGUAAUUAGCAUUAGGGUUUUAAACCCUAAACUGAAUUUUUCCUCUUAAUCAGCAUUAGGGUUUUAAACCCUAAAUUGAACUUUUUCAUUCAGCCAGCAUUAGGGUUUUAAACCCUAAACUAAGCUUUUCCAUGCAGUCAGCAUUAGGGUUUUAAACCCUAAACUGAAUUUUUUUUCUUCAAUCAGCAUUAGGGUUUUAAACCCUAAACUGAACUUUUUCCAUUCAGCCAGCAUUAGGGUUUUAAACCCUAAACUGAGCUUUUCCAUGCAAUCAGCAUUAGGGUUUCAAACCCUAAACUGAAUUUUCCUUUUAGUCAGCAUUAGGGUUUUAAACCCUAAACUGAACUUUUUCCAUUCAGCCAGCAUUAGGGUUUUAAACCCUAAACUGAGCUCUUCCAUGUAAUCAGCAUUAGGGUUUUAAUCCCUAAACUGAAUUUUUCCUCUUAAUCAGCAUUAGGGUUUUAAACCCUAAACUGAACUUUUCCAUUCAGCCAGCAUUAGGGUUUUAAACCCUAAACUGAGUCUUUCCAUGCAAUCAGCAUUAGGGUUUUAAACCCUAAACUGAAUAUUUUCUUCAAUCAGCAUUACAGUUUUAAACCCUAAACUGAACUUUUUCCAUUCAGCCAGCAUUAGGGUUUUAAACCCUAAACUGAGCUUUUCCAUGCCGUCAGCAUUAGGGUUUUAAACCCUAAAUUGAAUUUUUCCUUUAGUCAGCACUAGGAUUUUAUACCCUAAACUGAACUUUUUCCAUUCAGCCAGCAUUAGGGUUUUAAACCCUAAACUGAGCUUUUCCAUGCAAUCAGCAUUAGGGUUUUAAACCCUAAACUGAAUUUUUCCUUUGGUCAGCAUUAGGGUUUUAAACCAUAAACUGAAUUUUCCUUUAGUCAGCAUUAGGGUUUUAAACCCUAAACUGAAUUUUUCCUUAGUCAGCAUUAGAGUUUUAAACCCUAAACUGAAUUUUUCCUUUAGUCAGCAUUAGGGUUUUAAACCCUAAACUGAACUUUUUUCCAUUCAGCCAACAUUAGGGUUUUAAACCCUAAACUGAGCUUUUUCAUGCAAUCAGCAUUAGGGUUUUAAACCCUAAACUGAACUUUUUUCCAUUCAGCCAGCAUUAGGGUUUUAAACCCUAAACUAAGCUUUUUCAUGCAAUCAGCAUUAGGGUUUUAAACCCUAAACUGAACAUUUUUCCCUUCAGCCAGCAUUAGGGUUUUAAACCCUAAACUGAUCUUUUCCAUUCAGCCGGCAUUAGGGUUUUAAACCCUAAACUGAGCUUUUCCAUGCAGUCAGCAUUAGGGUUUUAAACCCUAAACUGAAUUUUUCCUUUAGUCAGCAUUAGAGUUUUAAACCCUAAACUGAACUUUUUUCCAUUCAGCCAGCAUUACGGUUUUAACCCCUAAACUGAGCUUUUCCAUGCAGUCAGCAUUAGGGUUUUAAACCCUAAACUGAAUUUUUCCUCUAGUCAGCAUUAGGGUUUUAAACCCUAAACUGAACUUUUUUCCAUUCAGCCAGCAUUAGGGUUUUAAACCCUAAACUGAGCUUUUUCAUGCAGUCAGCAUUAGGGUUUUAAACCAUAAACUGAAUUUUUCCUUUAGUCAGCAUUAGGGUUUUAAACCCUAAACUGAACUUUUUCCCAUUCAGCCAGCAUUAGGGUUUUAAACCCUAAACUGAGCUUUUCAAUGCAAUCAGCAUUAGGGUUUUAAACCCUAAACUGAAUUUUUCCUUUAGUCAGCAUUAGGGUUUUAAACCCUAAACUGAACUUUUUCCCAUUAAGUCAGCAUUAGUGUUUUCAAACCCUAAACUGAGCUUUUCCGUGCAAUCAGCAUUAGGGUUUUAAACCCUAAACUGAAUUUUUCCUUUAGUCAGCAUUAGGGUUUUAAACCCUAAACUGAACUUUUUCCAUUCAGCCAGCAUUAGGGUUUUAAACCCUAAAUUGAGCUUUUCCAUGAAGUCAGCUUUAGGGUUUUAAACCCUAAGCUGAAUUU
rnacentral:lncRNA from 1 species